ACAGUCUUAUACAAUAGACUUAUGGUUGCUGGGUGGAAGGGGUAGUUAGGGAGUUUGGGAUGGCCACGUACACACUGCUGUAGAUAACCAACAAAAGGUCUAUUGGACAGCACAUGGAACUCAGUUCAAUGUUAUGUGGCAGCCUGGAUACACCUAUAUGGAUGGUUGAGUCCCUUCGCUGUUCACCUGAAACUGCCAUAUUGUUAAUUUACUAUACCCCAAUACAAAACAAAAAGUUCAAAAGAAACAAGGAGAUACUUCUGCCUCAAAACCACAAUGAGAUACCACCUCAUACCAGAAUAACAAGUGUUGGAGUGGAUGUGGAGAAAUUGUAAUCUUGCACACACUUGGAGAGAAUGUCAAAUGGUGCAGCUGCUGUGGAAAACAUUAUGCUUCCUCCAAAUAUGAAACAUAGAAAAAAAAAAGCAACAUGGAAUUUCCAUAUGAUUCAGUAAUUCCCUUUGGAGGCACAGACUGAAAAGAAUUAAAAGCAAGGACUCAGAUCCUUGCCCACCCAUGUCCCUAGCAGCAUUAUUCACAGUACCCUGAAGUGGGAAGGUGACCUAAGUGUCCAUCAGCAGGUUGAUGGAUAAAAAAAAUAUGUCAGACACAUACAAUGGAAUAGUAUUCAACCUUAAAAGGAAGGGAAUUCUGACACAUGCUGCAGCAUGGAUGAGCCUUGAUGACAAUACGCUAAAGGGGGAGAAAAAAAGCUCUGGUAUCUGGAGAAAGCAAAUGGAUCCCAGGCUCCAAUCAAGAGAAGAAUGCCUGGGGAAUCAGAAGAACAUUAUGGUGUCGUAUAAAUUUCUGCCCUGCAGGUCCCUGGGGUACCUCGGAGACCGCACCAGUGCCAACAAGAGGAAUUCCUGAAGGAUUGGCUGAGACCUCAUUUACAACCACUGUUCCUGAUCUUACUGAUUCUCUUAAUGAGUCUUCAAAGACCUUCUUUUCUCUGGCUAAGGGUGAGUUGAACUAGAAUAGCAUUCUUAAUUUGCAUUUCCC
ensembl:lncRNA